CAUUGACAGCCACUAGAGGCGCUUGCGUGCUUCUCACUGUGAUUUUCACAGUGAGAGCACGCCAGCGUCCAUAGGAAAGCAUUGUAAAUGCUUUCCUAUGCGACCGGCUGAAUGCGCGCGCAGCUCUUGCUGCGUGUGCGCAUUCAGCCGGCGGGGCGUAAUGGAGACGGAGAGGAGGAGGAGAGCUCUCCGCCCAGCGCUGGAAAAAGGUAAGUUAUUACCCCUUUCCCCCUUCCAGAGCCGGGCGGGAGGGGGUCCCUGAGGGUGGGGGCACCCUC
rnacentral:lncRNA from 1 species